CUUGAUUCUUCAUGUUUCUUGGAGUUUAGCAUUGUUGUUUCUGCAUUUGAAGUAUCAGUCUCCUCUAAUCUUUACAACUGCCUACAGUUUCAUCACUCAUUGAAAGAAGAAGUUCUGGAGUUGAGUGUUAAGAGUCCAGCCUCCAUUAUGUUUACAGAGAUUCAUGGUGCUGCAUCCCUCCUUGGAAUCACUCUUUAUCCGGGCAAAUCCCUUCAAAGAGAAUGGCCAGAAUUUUGUGUUUAAAGAAUAAAUCACUUCCUCUGAAAA